CCUUUUCUCAGGGAUAGCCUAACAUCUGACCGCACCCUCUUUGCUUUUUAAAAAAUUCCUUUUCACUCUUUAAGAUAAAUCCUCUAUUAUACAAUCUGCCACUAAUUGUGUGUUAAGACUGUUUUUCUCUCGAAAGCUGAUGCAUCCUGCUCUCAACGUGGUCUAGAAAGUGGGCUGUUACAGUACUGGAUUAAUAAAAGGGGCCUUUAUGGUUUGUGAAAGAAUAUCUCUGUGCUUAGACAGGAAACUUUUUGAUCCACAGAAAAGCCAGACGACAUCCUAGAGCGAGAGAGGCCAACUUGAGGAGCAUGCACACUGCGAUACCCUCAGUGGUUCCUUUUCCAAUGUGUUCUCCUCCAGCCAGUGAAUUUUGUUUCACAGACCAGUGAAAGAAAAAUUAAAAUGAAAAAGGAAAAUGAAGAAGUUAAUGAUACCAGAUUUCAGCGAAGCUGAACGGCUUCCCGAAGAGCUCUGAGUUUUCCAUGCCAGAUUCUGCUCCAGUGGCUAGGACCUUUAUGGCUGCUGUUUCUUUUGCCCUGGGAUCUGAUGGAGGAAAAAAAAAAAAGCCACGAUGGAUCCUGUCCCUAAAGUAGAAAUUUUCCUUUUUAUUCUGCAAACAAGGCUAAAGAUCAGAGGAGAAUGAAUGCAAAAGUAAUUCAGGAUUGCGGUCGUGCCAUUAAAAGUAUUCGGCUUCAGAACAAAAUUAUUUGGGAAAUCCGAGCAAUUCUUCCUACUGUAUCGACAGUAUUUGAAAGUUAUGUGUGCUUUGAGUAAUCUGGUUCAAGUGACAACAAUCUCUGCAUGUCAAUGUUUUCUGCAGCUUAUGGAGUGAAGGCUAGUUUUGCCAUUGGAAAGGAAGAAGCUUUUUCUAGCAGUCUGUAGAAGGAUUAAAUGUGGAACGUGGGGAAGAGGCAAAAAGUGAAUACACGCCCAAAGGUUAUCCUUGCAUCGAGGAUGGGUUUAAAGUACUCUGUAACCCAGGGCCCACCUGAACAGCAGGACUAAAAGUAUACCGGGGAAAUAUUUCAAUUAGAACCCCCUUAACAAGCAUUUAAUCCUUCUUUCAGGCAUUAAGGAAAUAGAACAAAAUUGUUACUGUACAAAUCUGCUGGAAGCAGAUUUUAACCCAUUUGUAGACGCUUCCCUCUGAUGCAUUAUAGUAACAUAGCUACUUGUCAGACAAGGCAGAGAAGAUUUUUAUCCUGUGUUCUUUGUUUUUUCUUUUCAAAAGUUAAGGACCAUACUCUCAGAAAAGUCUGUUCGGUCAGCUGAUACAUUGUUCGAAUGUAUGUAUGCGUCUUGCCUGCUUAUUUGAUCUUUUCUGCCCCCUACUUGAAACUGUGGUUUGUUUAUUUGGGGGGAAGGAGGUGGUGUUGAUUUGGUGGGGGGACGGGACAUUGAUUUUAGGGUUUCUUUUGGGUUUGGGGUUUUUUUUCUAUUUAACAAUAGCAGUGAAAGUUUUGGUGACAGCGAUUAUGACUACUAAACAAUUCAGUUUAUUGGAAGACGAAUUCUUCUGGAUCAUAUCGGACUUUUCCUAGUCCCUGAGACCCUAACUUGUGAGGUUUUUUAGCAACAAUCACAAGUCAGGCUCUUGGGACCUAGGCGGAGGGGAACCAGCAGCUUUGGACUGUGUUUGUUUCUCUGCAGAAUUUAGAGAACCAAAGGAGCUUUCCUUGCCUGGAAGGGUAAAAAGGAAAAUAUAACUAUUUUAAAUGUUAAGCAUCAGAACUGUAGAUGUCCUAAAAAAGAAAAAAAAAAAAGAAAAAAAAUCCAAACAACUGUUACUCAUCGUGCAGCAUUGGGAUGUUACAUUUUUAUAUGUUUAGAAAACUGGACUAGAUGUCAUGUAACAUUUAGAAUUAUAAUUUAACCUGGAUGUUAGUUCGCACGAAAAAACUCCCCCCAAACAAUAAAAACAACAAAACUCCCAUUCAAAACAGAUGCUAAAAUAUAUAAAAUAUUUCCAACUAUAAUAUUAAUACUAUUACUAUUAUUAUUAUUAUUGUGGACAAUUCUAAUAAAUAAUUACCAAAAAGAAUAUAUUCAUCCUUACUGUUCAAGCAUCAAUUGACUUUUAAAACAUAAAACAUAAACACUGAUGUUUGAGGCCUAGAAAACAUUAAUUCUAUUGUUUGAAUAAUGAUUUCAGUCUACAGGAAAACUGUUGCUUAGCUUUUCCUGUAACAUGGAACAAAGAGUAUUUUGUACUUACUUGCCAUCCUUUUUCUUUGUCCAAGUGAGAACACAAUAUGUCAUUUAAAAUAUUCUCUCAUUUAAUUUACAUUUUAAUCUGAAAGAGAAUAUUGGUUUAAAAAUCAUGCUACAGCAUUAACAGCCCUCUGCACUCAGAAACAUAUUUCUUGUACCUGUUCAAUUUAAAGCAAACCCACAAUACUCUAAGCACCGGACUCAACUUGUAACUUCUCCAUCACUUCUUAUAUUUUUUUAUCCCUCUGAAAAUAACCAGUGUGAGCUGUAGCUUGUCCCUCAUGUGUUAAGUUCUUCACUGACUUUGCAUAAGGAGAUUCACAAGCACAUGAGUUAUUCUGCACUGCUUAUUUGUCUCAAACAUCUGAUCUAAAACACGUCAUCUGAUUUGUAUUUCUUAAUAUUUUAUAGGUGAGUUAGUUCUGAGUCAUUUUUCUCUGUUUCCUGUGUCUAACCAAGAUGCUGAAGGAUUUUGUUGAUACAUCAGACUUCACUGAAACAAAGGCUUCACACAGAUCAGGCAUCUAAACUAUUUGUUCAUUUCAAAAGUGGUAUUUUGGCUACAGUAUAUUUUUCCCACUUGUGUGGGAGGAAUUGUGUUUUAUUGUAAGCAUCAACACUAUUGUUUAAAUAAAUUGUUCUUAUCUGUUAGUAUAAUACUUUUUCUUCUUGUCUUGUUUUUUUAAGAGACAGAAACUAUGCUCAGUACAUAGUUUUCAAGUUGCUCAAGAUAUAAUUAGUCUUUAAAUAGUCAUAAAAAAUAUUGCCUUAGCAAUUACAAUGAUGAUACUGUUCCUGUAAAUAUGUAAUUCUUUUCUUCGUAAACUGUCAGUCCCACAUGCUAAGAACACCCAAAAGAGCUACUUGCAAAAAUUCAGAUGCAGAGGUAACCUUUUUAACACAAAUUUUAUAUUCAACGUUGAUUUCUGUUUAGGAAAUAUUGGAAAAGUAGAUUGGAAUGUGUAUAGGAAAGACAAAUGCACCCAGGUAGGUGCUACACUCGUGAAACACAUUGUUAGGAAUUUACAUAUAUUCUGUAGCAGUUUUCAAUACUGAAAACAGAUUAUUUAAGAUACUGAUCAGGUGAACACAUAUUCUGUUCAUUCGAGCUGUAUAAUGAGAUAAAAAUAUACUGUGUGUUGUUAUAUACAUGUCAAUAUAUAAUUUAAAUUACACGUAGAGUUUGUCGAAAUAAAAGUCCUUAUAGAUUUAAUCAGCUGUAAGAUGCACCCAUCUAUGCAUAUCAAAGAUCGUCAUUGCAUUUAUUUUUCGAUCAGCAAAAUUUUCUUGAAUGAAGAUAGUUCAAAUUCAGCACUCUGAAUUAAUUUUGCAUUUAACACUGUAUGUACAAUGAAGGUGAAACUGUGGUGUGAAACAUUUUGUCUCUGUCAGUCUGAAGAUUUCUGCUGUGCUCUGCCCUGCACUGAGAGUGAGAAGAAAAUGAAUCAUUAUACACCCCUGCCUGGCGUAUUUGGUGCUCCAGCAAAAGUCGUGAAUACGCAGUCCUGCCUCUGCAUUCCUGCUUGAACUGGGAUGACUCCAGUGGCUCCACUCUGCCCAUCAUACUCAGUGCCGCCCCUUGCCAUGGUGAUGGGAAAGCUGGUGCACUGCCUGCCUCUUUGCCUGCUCCCUCUUCUUCCCCAGUGUCAGCACAGCCAGCUCAGCCUCAGGUGCACAGAUGCAUUCCUGUGUGAAACUGAGAAAGGAAAAGCAUCCUUAGCAUACAGAGGAUUAAAAAUAUCUGAUGGCCAUUCCACGUUUAAGCCCCUUAAACAGGAUAGAGUGGAACACAUUGUGGUGUCUAUAGCAACAGGUGUGAAAUCAAAGAUUCAUUUUCAUCCACGGAAGACUGAGAAAAUGCUGGAGCCGUGUCCAUGCCGAGGGUCC